rnacentral:miRNA from 2 species
GCCAGACUGUACUGCGUCACAG